AGCUGGGUUUAGAACGUCGUGAGACAGUUCGGUCCCUAUCUGCCGUGGGCGCUGGAGAAUUGAGGGGGGCUGCUCCUAGUACGAGAGGACCGGAGUGGACGCAUCACUGGUGUUCGGGUUGUCAUGCCAAUGGCACUGCCCGGUAGCUAAAUGCGGAAGAGAUAAGUGCUGAAAGCAUCUAAGCACGAAACUUGCCCCGAGAUGAGUUCUCCCUGAGACUAUAAGUCUCCUGAAGGAACGUUAAAGACGACGACGUUGAUAGGCCGGGUGUGUAAGCGCAGCGAUGCGUUGAGCUAACCGGUACUAAUGAACCGUGAGGCUUAACCUUACAACGCCGAAG
rnacentral:rRNA from 1 species